CAUGCAGUCGAACGAAGCACUUUAUUUGAUUUCCUUCGGGACUGAUUAUUUUGUGACUGAGUGGCGGACGGGUGAGUAACGCGUGGGUAACCUGCCUUGUACAGGGGGAUAACAGUUGGAAACGGCUGCUAAUACCGCAUAAGCGCACGGCAUCGCAUGAUGCAGUGUGAAAAACUCCGGUGGUAUAAGAUGGACCCGCGUUGGAUUAGCUAGUUGGUGAGGUAACGGCCCACCAAGGCGACGAUCCAUAGCCGACCUGAGAGGGUGACCGGCCACAUUGGGACUGAGACACGGCCCAAACUCCUACGGGAGGCAGCAGUGGGGAAUAUUGCACAAUGGGCGAAAGCCUGAUGCAGCGACGCCGCGUGAGCGAAGAAGUAUUUCGGUAUGUAAAGCUCUAUCAGCAGGGAAGAUAAUGACGGUACCUGACUAAGAAGCACCGG
rnacentral:rRNA from 1 species